rnacentral:rRNA from 1 species
UACGGGGGGGGCAAGCGUUGUUCGGAAUUACUGGGCGUAAAGCGCGCGUAGGCGGCUCUUCAAGUCGAGUGUGAAAGCUCCAGGCUUAACCUGGGAAUUGCGCUCGAUACUGUUGAGCUAGAGUGUGGAAGGGGCUACUGGAAUUCCGUGUGUAGCGGUGAAAUGCGUAGAUAUACGGAGGAACACCAGCGGCGAAGGCGGGUAGCUGGGCCGAACACUGACGCUAAAGUGCGAAAAGCUAGGGGAGCAAACGGG